rnacentral:rRNA from 1 species
CAGCCGCCGCGGUAAUACGUAGGUCCCGAGCGUUGUCCGGAUUUAUUGGGCGUAAAGCGAGCGCAGGCGGUUAGAUAAGUCUGAAGUUAAAGGCUGUGGCUUAACCAUAGUACGCUUUGGAAACUGUUUAACUUGAGUGCAAGAGGGGAGAGUGGAAUUCCAUGUGUAGCGGUGAAAUGCGUAGAUAUAUGGAGGAACACCGGUGGCGAAAGCGGCUCUCUGGCUUGUAACUGACGCUGAGGCUCGAAAGCGUGGGGAGCAAACAGGAUUAGAUACCCCGGUAGUCCCUGUCUCUUAUAAC